GAUGAACGCUAGCGGCAGGCUUAACACAUGCAAGUCGAGGGGCAGCGCGGGAUAGCCGUAUCCUGGCGGCGACCGGCGGAAGGGUGCGUAACGCGUGAGCGACAUGCCCGUUGCCCGGGGACAACCGGUGGAAACGCCGACUAAUCCCCGAUGGGAUAUUGUGCCGCAUGGCACGAUAUUGAAAGUUACGGCGGCGGCGGAUUGGCUCGCGUCCGAUUCGCUGGUUGGGGGGGUACCGGCCCACCAAGUCUGCGAUCGGUAGGGGUUCGGAGAGGAAGGCCCCCACAAUGGGACUGAGACACGGUCCAUACGCGUACGGGAGGAAGCAGGGAGGAAUAGUGGUAGAUGGGAGGAAGCCUGAACCAGCCAUGCCGCGUGCGGGAAGGAGGCCCUAUGGGAUGUGAACCGCUUUUGUCUGGGGGGAAUAAGGGCGUCGCGCACGUCCGAUGAGAGUACCAGGCGAAUAAGCAUCGGCUAACUACGUG
rnacentral:rRNA from 1 species